GAUGAACGCUGGCGGCGUGCUUAACACAUGCAAGUCGAACGAGAAGUGGAGACGGAAACCUUCGGGCGGAAGACUUUAUUUCGAGUGGCGGACGGGUGAGUAACGCGUGGGUAACCUGCCUCAUACAGGGGGAUAACAGUUGGAAACGACUGUUAAUACCGCAUAAGACCACAGCACCGCAUGGUGCGGGGGUAAAAACUCCGGUGGUAUGAGAUGGACCCGCGUUCGAUUAGCCAGUUGGCGGGGUAACGGCCCACCAAAGCGACGAUCGAUAGCCGAUCUGAGAGGAUGACCGGCCACAUUGGGACUGAGACACGGCCCAAACUCCUACGGGAGGCAGCAGUGGGGAAUAUUGCACAAUGGGGGAAACCCUGAUGCAGCGGCGCCGCGUGAGUGAAGAAGUAUUUCGGUAUGUAAAGCUCUAUCAGCAGGGAAGAAAAUGACGGUACCUGAGUAAGAAGCCCCGGCUAACUACGUG
rnacentral:rRNA from 1 species